UACGGGGGGGGUAAGCGUUGUUCGGAAUUACUGGGCGUAAAGGGCUCGUAGGCGGCCAACUAAGUCAGACGUGAAAUCCCUCGGCUUAACCGGGGAACUGCGUCUGAUACUGGAUGGCUUGAGUUCGGGAGAGGGAUGCGGAAUUCCAGGUGUAGCGGUGAAAUGCGUAGAUAUCUGGAGGAACACCGGUGGCGAAGGCGGCAUCCUGGACCGAUACUGACGCUGAGGAGCGAAAGCCAGGGGAGCAAACGGG
rnacentral:rRNA from 1 species